rnacentral:rRNA from 1 species
AGAGUCUCUUGACAUCCUGCUGACAACCUUGGAGACAGGGUCUUCCCUUCGGGGACACCGUGACAGGUGGUGCAUGGUUGUCGUCACCUCGUGUCGUGAGAUGUUGGGUUAAAUCCCCCAACGAGCGCAACCCUUUUUCUUAUUUGCCACCAUUAAAUUGGGCACUCUAAAGUGACUGCCGGUGACACACCGGAGGAGGGUGGGGAUGACAUCAAAUCAUCAUGCCCCUUAUGACAUGGGCUACACACGUGCUAUAAUGGAGAGUACAAAGGGCACCAAAACCCCGAGGUGAAGAAAAUCCCCUAAAAAUUUUCUCACUUCGGAUUGUAGGCUGCAACUCUCCUGCAUGAAACCGGAAUCUCUAUUAAUCGCGGAUAACCAUGCCCCGGGGAAAACCUUCCCCGGGCUUGUGCACACCGAGA